GGGGCGGGCUAGCAUGCUCGGUGUGUCGAUCACUGUCGACCCGUGUCGCGCUGGCAAGGGACUCUUAAUCCGUAGGUCGAGUGUUCGAGUCACUCACGCCCCACCA
rnacentral:tRNA from 1 species